rnacentral:sRNA from 2 species
CCGCCCAUCAUUGGGGAGUAGCCGCCCGCCGAUUUUGAGCGGGCGCCGCGUCAACAGACUUGGGCCCCGCCGGUGCUUCACCGGUGCGGCCCAUGGCGCGUGCGACCGAUCCGCCCUGCGCGGAU